AUAGGACUUUUAAUGAGAUUUGAAGGAAAGCCAUGGAAAGCAAGAGGUGGAAAUGAUUAGAGAGCAUUCCAAGAAUGGGGGACAGAGGAUGAAAAUGCUUAGAGUUAACAAAGCCUGAUGCCUUAUGGGAGAACAAGAACAGGUGAAAGCAGUCCACUAGACGAGACUAGUCCCAGGUGGAGGUAGUAGAGAGAGCAGUAGAGAGACAAGAUGCUGAUUGAACUGGGAGUAGACUGGAGAUUGCUGUGGUUGAUGAAACUAUAUGACCCUGGGUAAAUCGCUUAAUCCUGUUUGCUGGAGAAGAAAAGAAGAAGAAGGAGAGGGAAGAGAAGAAGAAGGAAAAUUAAGAAGAAAGAGAAGGAGAAGGAGGAGGAGGAAGAAAGAAAGAAAAUUGUCUCUUCAACAGAGUUUGAUUUUUUUUACCCAAUAUAUUGGAUCUGUUGGUUAAGAUUCAUUAACAGGACUCUAGGUACUUUCCUCAAAAGAACUGUGCCUGUCAUUAAACCCAGAGUUGUAUCUUGUUCUCAA